AAGGUAUACCGUGAGGAGUGCUGGAGCGUUAAGAAGUGAGAAUGCCGGUAUGAGUAGCGCAAGAUAAGUGAGAAUCUUAUCCACCGUAAGACUAAGGUUUCCAGGGGAAGGCUCGUCCGCCCUGGGUUAGUCGGGACCUAAGGCGAGGCCGAAAGGCGUAGUCGAUGGACAACUGGUUGAUAUUCCAGUACUAGAUAUGAUCGUGAUGGAGGGACGCAGUAGGCUAAGAGAUGCCAGUUAAUGGAUUCUGGUCUAAGCAGUGAGGUGUGAGAUGUGUCAAAUGCAUUUCUCUCUAACAUUGAGCUGUGAUGGGGAAGCAACUACGGUUGCGAACUCUCUGAUGUCACACUGCCAAGAAAAGCUUCUAGCGUAAAGUCAUAUCUACCCGUACCGCAAACCGACACAGGUAGUCGAGGCGAGUAGCCUCAGGUGAUCGAGAGAACUCUCGUUAAGGAACUCGGCAAAAUAGCCCCGUAACUUCGGGAGAAGGGGUGCUGGUGUAAAAGCCAGCCGCAGUGAAU
rnacentral:rRNA from 1 species